GCGGGAUGUGCCCUAGUGGGUUAAACCGGUAUGGCGGCUUGUUAGACAAAAGGGGAGUGGGGGUCAGCUGAGAAGACACUACUGAGUUGAUAAUUGUAACAAUUGAAAUGCUAAUACUUUGCACAUGAACGUUCACUCAUUUGGGAAUAAUUGCAAUCAAUAUAUAUAUUUACGCUCAGUGUGUCAUCGGGAUCUCUGUUGAAAAGUUUGUUUCUGUUGGAGAGUUUGUCCGCCCUCUCUCUCUCGCUGUCGUGGUUAGAAUGGAUAAUUCAGAGUGACGUUCAUUCAGGUCGUUAUAGAAUAGAUGUUUCUGCGGUUGUCGGUCUUCGCGUUCAAUGAUACCGAAUUCCUAGCUGCAGACUAGUAAUUAAUAUCAAAGACUUGCUCUUAUUCUGUCGGUAUCGAUAGUCUUAGAGUUUAACCACGUGGGAUGGUUAAAAGAUUCAGCAAUCUACUCAAACCCUUAUUUCCCUCUGUGACAGAGGUACUGGUCUGAUCUCAAACCUUGGCCCUCUCGUUAUUGAGGUAAGCUGGUCUGGUGAUAGAAAACCCAGGUGGGGGUUUUAUUCGGAACAUCGAAAGGGGCUGUCUCAUGACGCCCGGUCCUGUCUGUGCCCCUGGGAGUGUUCUCAUGACGCCAGGUCCUGUCUGUGCCCCUGGGGGUGUUCUCAUGACGUCAGGUCCUGUCUGUGCCCCUGGGGGUGUUCUCAUGAUGCCAGGUCCUGUCUGUGCCCCUGGGGGUGUUCUCAUGACGCCAGGUCCUGUCUGUGCAACUGGGGGUGUUCUCAUGACGCCAGGUCCUGUCUGUGCCCCUGGGGGUGUUCCCAUGACGCCAGGUCCUGUCUGUGCCCCUGGGGGUGUUCCCAUGACGCCAGGUCCUGUCUGUGCAACUGGGGGUGUUCUCAUGACGCCAGGUC
ensembl:lncRNA